GUUCGAUUAGAUUUGGACCCCAGGAAAGGAUCAAACCUCCCACCUUCCCUGUCAGCGUACGACCCUAGUUCCCACCUGAGUUGGUGACCCGAUCUUCCCUAAGGUGGCUCGUACACUGGCCAGCACCACGGAGAUGUAGGGAUAGGACGAUGGGAGUUGCUGGAUUUUUGGCAACACUGACAGCAGAAAACAAUGUUACUGGCAGCCCAUGACCAUCUGUCAGUGACAGUUGCGAAAAACGUGAAGACAAUCCCCAACAUCACCAUCAUGGAAAGAAUUUGCGGUUUGAAAUUGUCGUAUGCGAGACCGCUCAAAAGUCAGGAGGCACUUGAACAAUUCGGAACUCUUGGGGGUACCUGACGUAAGUUGACCUCCAGCCAGGAACGUCAAUAAGAAAUCAACAAAAUUAAUCACUGUGCUAGCUGUUGCGGCAAAUCCUGACAAACGAUUUCCGAUGGGAACCGAUCGGAAACUGUAUUAGAAGUGCUAUUAGGAGCAGCUGAAGGAACAUCUUGCAGAAAAUUUUCUCUGGAAUUGUAAUUCAUAUUUUCAUGUUGUGGAGGAAGGGUCUCACAAAAAUGUACAAUUGGACCAACCUUGUUGAACCCGAAUCAUUGUUCACCCGACGGUAUUAGCACUUGCAGGAUGGCCUGGCGGCAGUGUGCAGUCUACGGAGACAUCUGAAGCCCUGGAAAUCCGAUCCGAUAUCGUGCGAUAUUUGUCAUAUCAUUAUAAUGUAGAUCAGUGUGUCUUAUUGCAGUAAGUUUUUAAUUUUGAGAAUGGUUUGUAGAUCGAUUGCUGAUGCGAUCCCAAUAAACAAUGAAAUUGACA